rnacentral:rRNA from 1 species
CGCACGAGCGCACCCUUGCCCUAUGUUGCCAGCGGGUUAUGCCGGGGACUCAUGGGGAACUGCCGGUGAUAAACCGGAGGAAGGUGGGGACGACGUCAAGUCAUCAUGGCCCUUACGCCCAGGGCUACACACGUGCUACAAUGGCCGGUACAAAGGGCUGCAAUCCCGCGAGGGGGAGCGAAUCCCAAAAAGCCGGUCUAAGUUCGGAUUGUAGUCUGCAACUCGACUGCAUGAAGUCGGAAUCGCUAGUAAUCGUGUAUCAGCAACGACACGGUGAAUACGUUCCCGGGCCUUGUACACACCGCCCGUCAAGCCAUGGAAGCCGGGAGUGCCCGAAGUCCGUGAUCCAACUUCGUGAGGAAGCGGCCGAAGGUAAGUUCGGUGACUGGGGCUAAGUCGUAACAAGGUAGCCGUAGGGGAACCUGCGGCUGGAUCACCUCCUUU